rnacentral:ribozyme from 1 species
ACUCGACUAUGCGAGUAUAAAAAGACAUUAGGCAUAGUGCGUUAUAGACCGUAUAACAGCGGUCUAUAGGUUGUA